CCUUGCUUAUAAAACCUGCCACCCACGAGUCUGGAGUGGUCUGCCUCUCUUUGGUCUCUCCCUGCUAUCUGUGUUUAGGGGCUAGUUUAUGAGCCAACAACAAGAUAGGCAGAAGUGAGAGAUCUCUCAAAGAAAUCUGUGAAGAAAUGGAAAUAUCAUAUCACAGAAACCAAAGGCAAAAACACUUGAGGAAGUAGAGAUGGAUCAACAACACCAAAUGCUUCCACAUGUUUGAGUAAGACAGAUAACAGAAGGAUAAACUUGAAAAUGGGAACAGCCUGAAUAUCUAAGUCACUGCUUGGAUGACAGCCACCCAAAAAGCCAGCAGACCAGGAACAUUCACACUUGAUUCUGACCAUCACCCCAGCAACUUCCCCUGUGGCAACCACCAUGAUUUAAAACAAACAAACAAACAAACAAACAAACAAACAACUGAAGAGAAGGGAAGCAGGCGCCACUUGAAAAAAGGAAAAAAGGGAGAAGAAAUGGUGACCUUUUUGAAGUAAGAGAGACAGCCCUGACUUGAAGAUUUAACUUUAAAAUUCUGACUAUGGGAUUCAAAAGAGACUGAAAAGGCAAAGAAGAAAGUCUGAAAAAUGGAAAGACUGGUUUGGCAAAUUUGAAGUCCUUCAGCUCCUAUGCUGUACCCUAUAGAUGGGAAUGGGGGUUAACCAAGAGAGUGACAUCAGUUAUAGAAAACAAGUAAUAUUAAUAUUUUUGUUAGAAUGGUAGAAUAUGAAUCAUAUCCCUCUCUCCUUAAUGAACAUACCUAUUAUAUGAAGUAACCUAUGAGAACAGUAAAAUCACACAUGCAUUUUAUCUGGGUAUGAUUCUUACUCCACAAAUUUCACUGAAAAGAAAAUAUCAAAUUUCUUUUUUAAUUUGAAUCAAAUCAACUUGACUCCAAGCCUUAAGCUUCCUAUGAUUCCAGUGGAAGGGAAGCUUGGAGUCAAGUUGAUUUCAUGAUCCAUUACCCAUGCAGACAGUCCUUAAUCCUCCCUUUAAACUGUCUUUUCACUUUUUCACUUCUUUUAUCCCCAAACCCUGAAUAAAAAGGGCAGUUUCCCCUCUUUCUUCUCUUCUUAGGAUGCUUUUACACACACACACACACACACACACACACACACACACACACACACACACUUUUUUUUUUUUUUUUUUUUUUUUUUUUUUUUGGCCAGAGAUGAUAGCUUGGUCACUUACUGGCCAGGUUUGUCUAUUGCUAGUAUUUCAAAGUGAUGAAAAACUUUAAAUUAAUUGCCUAGAUAAAAAUAUGGAUACUCCUGAAAAAUUAACAGAUCUGGCAAAACUAGGUCUGCAGUUCCUUCUGAGAACACUAGCUGGGGCAGUGUACUACUGCUCCCUUUAGAUGAGGCUUGCAGGCUUCAGGUUUCCUCAUCAGGACAACUAACAUCUCCCAGGACAUUAACCUGCUGGUCCUUGCCAGUUAUCACAUUUACACUGUUGUCUUCCUAGUAUAAGAGAAAUAUCUCCCUACAGCUAUGUCACUGUUGACCAUGAAGGCCUUAAGUUUCCCCCUGGUUUAACUAAAUUUCGUAUAGGCUUCUUCCUGGUAAUAGGUCUCUGACCUUCUUUUUUUUUUUGAGCUUACUUAUUUAGAAAACUUAGUCCUCUGAAUUUUUUCUCUGCCCCUCUGAGAUGUAAGUCUUCUCCCAAGUUCUUGCCCAUUUUUGUAACCUUGGAAGGUCUUUCUCAAAGACCUGGGGGCUAUUCCUUUCAAAUGUAAUAAUCAAAAGAAUUAGUACCCCUGUAUCCCAAUCUCUCUGGGAUGAUAGGAACUCAACACAGAUGGCCUAACCACAUAGACCAGCCUUCCCCAAUGUUCCCCUAUAUUUUUCAUUAGCUUGCUCUCCAGCAUUUAAGAAUCCUCCUACUUUCUGUUUCAGCAAAGUUGACUUCAGUGUCUUUUUCCUGUGGCAACGGUCUUCACCUCUAUUGUUAUAAUCUUGAAUAAAGUUUUCCUUUCCUGUUUAA